ACGGGAGGCAGCAGUGGGGAAUAUUGGACAAUGGGGGAAACCCUGAUGCAGCGACGCCGCGUGAGUGAAGAAGUUAUUCGUAAUGUAAAGCUCUAUCAGCAGGGAAGAAAAUGACGGUACCUGACUAAGAAGCCCCGGCUAACUACGUGCCAGCAGCCGCGGUAAUACGUAGGGGGCAAGCGUUAUCCGGAUUUACUGGGUGUAAAGGGAGCGUAGACGGUCUGGCAAGUCUGAUGUGAAAGGCAGGGGCUCAACUCCUGGACUGCAUUGGAAACUGUCAGUCUUGAGUGCCGGAGAGGUAAGCGGAAUUCCUAGUGUAGCGGUGAAAUGCGUAGAUAUUAGGAGGAACACCAGUGGCGAAGGCGGCUUACUGGACGGUAACUGACGCUGAGGCGCGAAAGCGUGGGGAGCGAACAGGAUUAGAUACCCUGGUA
rnacentral:rRNA from 1 species